rnacentral:lncRNA from 1 species
CUGCCUCCCUCCCCACGCAGUGCGCUCGGGGGCUUCUGUCCCCAUGUCCCCACGUCCCCAAACAAGGCACCUGCCCCCUGAACCCCCCUGAACCCCCCUGAGCCCCCCACGGCGACACAGAGGGUGGCACACGGACGGUGGCUGUGCCCCCCCGAGGAAAAAAAACCCUUUUGGCUCGCCGUUUUUUUUUUGGGGAGGGGGCAGCAGCGGCUGGAGGCGCACGGUGCGCUGCGCGGUGCCGGCGCUGCAUUAACGCUGCCUGUCGCUAGAGCGCACCAGCAGCAUGCUGUGACACCCGCCAGGGCCACCUGCACCCCCCCUCGACACCCUUGGGUGCCCUCCAGCAGCAGGGCAGGAUCCGUCCUUCGGUCCUCCGACCCCGUUCCGGGUCCUGGUGCCCCCCCCGGGGAUGCUGGGGGUCCCAAAUUUGCUCCCCGUGGCAUCACCCGCGGCACUCAGGGAUGGCAAGGAGCGUUGUCCUCUGGAUUAGCCUCGCCUUUGAGUGCUGUCCCCUCAUUUUGGGGACAGUUUGCAGCCUUUUGGGGCUGGGCCGUGCUGGGGGGGCUCACACCACAGCCCCCAGCCCCGUGUGUUUUUGGAGGAGCAUCCUCAGGGCAUCACCACCCCCAAGGCUUCCAGCCCUCUCCCCACCCGUGCCAGCAGCUCUGUGCCCCCCUCCCGUCCCCUCCUGCCACCGGGGGUGACAUGGGCAGGCUGGGGGCCCCGGGGGGCUCUCACUGGGCACAAAAAUGUCCACCCCAAACGCCCCCCCCCCCAAGGCAUUUGAUGUUUUUUGUGGUGGUUUCGCUCCAGCUCCUGCUUUUCCCAAUCCCUUCGGGGCCUCCUGCAGGGGUCUCAGCGGGGACAGCGCCCAUCCCCAACCCGGCACCCAUGGGGACACCCCCUCUGCCUCCCUCCCAACCCCUCCUGGGGGUGAUUUUGGGGCAGCUCCCCCCCCUUUGGGGCUGCGGGCACCCCAGGGAUGGGUGCGGGUGCCGGGAGGGGCAGGACAGAGGCCACCCCAGCAGCCUGUCCUACGUGCGCGUCUCCUUGCCUCCUCGACGCCUUUUUUUUUUUUUCCCUUUUAUCCCCCCCCCUCUUUGAGCAGCUGUUCCCUAAUAAGCUGUUAAUGAUGAUACAGUAAGUAGGAGCGGAGAGUCCUGCGGGAGCUGCCACGAUUUGUGUAAUUGGUCUCGGAGGAGACAAAAGUAUCUAAUAUUUACACGCCGGUAUUAGUCCCCUGGGAGCGCUGUC